rnacentral:rRNA from 1 species
UACGGGGGGGGGCAAGCGUUGUUCGGAAUUACUGGGCGUAAAGGGCUCGUAGGCGGCCAACUAAGUCGGAUGUGAAAUCCCCAGGCUUAACCUGGGAACUGCAUCCGAUACUGGAUGGCUUGAAUCCGGGAGAGGGAUGCGGAAUUCCAGGUGUAGCGGUGAAAUGCGCAGAUAUCAGGAGGAACACCGGUGGCGAAGGCGGGUCUCUGGGCAGUAACUGACGUGAGGAGCGAAAGCGUGGGGAGCGAACAGG